ensembl:lncRNA
UAGUUGACAGUCAGACACACUAUGUACAGACAUAGACACACUAUGUACAGAUAUCGCUUCCUGUUUUGUGAGCCACACAUCCUUCUUCCACAUCCUUCUCUUUUUUUAUUCAUAAUGACAACCUUUUCACAUGCACCCACUGAAGCAGCUGACAAGGGACCUGAGCCCUUAGGAUCAUGCCUCAAGACUACCUGGCAUGAUGACACCUUGCUGUCCCCAAUCCACCUGGCCGUGCUGCUGCUCCAGUUUCAUCUGUUCUGCCUGCGGCUAUGGAACCCUGACCUGUUCACCGGACGUGCUAACUGUCCCAGACCUGCUGUUUUCAACUCUCUAGAGACAGCAGGAGCGGUAGAGAUACUCUUAAUGAUCGGCUAUGAAAAGCCAACUGACAUUUACUCCUGAGGUGCUGACUUGCUGCACCCUCGACAACUACUGUGAUUAUUAUUAUUUGACCAUGCUGGUCAUUUAUGAACAUUUGAACAUCUUGGCCAUGAUCUGUUAUAAUCUCCACCCGGCACAGGCAGAAGAGGACUGGCCACCCCUCAUAGCCUGGUUUCUCUCUGGGUUUCUUCCUAGGUUUUGGCCUUUCUAUGGAGUUUUUCCUAGCCACCGUGCUUCUACACCUGCAUUGCUUGCUGUUUGGGGUUUUAGGCUGGGUGUCUGUACAGCAAUUUGAGAUAUCAGCUGACGUAAGAAGGUCUAUAUAAAUACAUUUGAUUUGAUUCAGCCGGGGGCCGAUUAUUAUUACACUGAGCUGCAGGUAGCCUAGUGGUUAGAGCAGUGGACUAGUUACCGAAAGGUUGCAAGAUCGAAUCCCUGAGCUGACAAGGUACAAAUCUGUCGUUCUGCCCCGGAACUAGGCAGUUAACCCACUGUUCCUAGGCCAUCAUUGAAAAUAAGAAUUUACCUUACCUUAAAUAAAGGUUAAAAAAACAUAAAAAUAAAGGAGACUACAUAAACCAUUUAAACUGGAACAACCAUUUCAGUAACGGGUGCAAUACAUCUAACUGAUUUGAUUAGUUUAGAAAAAGUAUGUUGUGCAUCUUUGUGUUGCAUGUGAUUAAUUAAUCAAUAAAUGUACUUGCAAAAACAAACCUAAAAAAAAUCUACCGGGCCUCUCUCAUUAGUUGUCUCUGAUUGAGAAUCACACUUAGGUAGCCUGGCUUUCAGUAGGUGUUUGUUUCCGUGUCUGUGUUUGUUCGCCACACGGUACUGUUUCGGUUUUGUUCACGUUAAUUGUUUUUGUGUUAGUGUUUAUGUUGAGUUUUUUUCAUAUUAAAAACAUGGACACUUA